GACGAACGCUGGCGGCGUGCUUAACACAUGCAAGUCGAACGGAAAGGCCCUGCUUUUGUGGGGUGCUCGAGUGGCGAACGGGUGAGUAACACGUGAGUAACCUGCCCUUGACUUUGGGAUAACUUCAGGAAACUGGGGCUAAUACCGGAUAGGAGCUCCUGCUGCAUGGUGGGUGUUGGAAAGUUUCGGCGGUUGGGGAUGGACUCGCGGCUUAUCAGCUUGUUGGUGGGGUAGUGGCUUACCAAGGCUUUGACGGGUAGCCGGCCUGAGAGGGUGACCGGCCACAUGGGGACUGAGAUACGGCCCAGACUCCUACGGGAGGCAGCAGUGGGGAAUAUUGCACAAUGGGCGGAAGCCUGAUGCAGCAACGCCGCGUGCGGGAUGACGGCCUUCGGGUUGUAACCGCUUUCGCCUGUGACGAAGCGUGAGUGACGGUAAUGGGUAAAGAAGCACCGGCUAACUACGUG
rnacentral:rRNA from 1 species